rnacentral:rRNA from 1 species
AUUGAACGCUGGCGGCAGGCCUAACACAUGCAAGUCGAGCGGAUGAAGGGAGCUUGCUCCUGGAUUCAGCGGCGGACGGGUGAGUAAUGCCUAGGAAUCUGCCUGGUAGUGGGGGAUAACGUCCGGAAACGGGCGCUAAUACCGCAUACGUCCUGAGGGAGAAAGUGGGGGAUCUUCGGACCUCACGCUAUCAGAUGAGCCUAGGUCGGAUUAGCUAGUUGGUGGGGUAAAGGCCUACCAAGGCGACGAUCCGUAACUGGUCUGAGAGGAUGAUCAGUCACACUGGAACUGAGACACGGUCCAGACUCCUAAGGGAGGCAGCAGUGGGGAAUAUUGGACAAUGGGCGAAAGCCUGAUCCAGCCGUGCCGCGUGUGUGAAGAAGGUCUUCGGAUUGUAAAGCACUUUAAGCUGGGAGGAAGGGCAGUAAGUUAAUACCUUGCUGUUUUGACGUUACCAACAGAAUAAGCACCGGCUAACUUCGUG